GAAGGUGUGUGGUAACGCAUGCUGGACGUAUCAGAAGUGCGAAUGCUGACAUGAGUAACGAUAAAGGGGGUGAAAAACCUCCUCGCCGGAAGACCAAGGGUUCCUGUCCAACGUUAAUCGGGGCAGGGUAAGUCGACCCCUAAGGCGAGGCCGAAAGGCGUAGUCGAUGGGAAACGGGUUAAUAUUCCCGUACUUCUUACAAUUGCGAUGGGGGGACGGAGAAGGCUAGG
rnacentral:rRNA from 1 species